rnacentral:rRNA from 1 species
AAUCAACGCUGGCGGCGUGCCUAACACAUGCAAGUCGAACGCGAAAGCCCCUUCGGGGGUAAGUAGAGUGGCGUCCGGGUGAGUAACACGUAGGUAAUCUGCCUUCGGGUGGGGAAUAACCAGUCGAAAGAUUGGCUAAUACCGCAUAAUGCAGCGGCACCUAAUGGUGAUUAGUUGUUAAAGCGGGGGAUCGUAAGACCUCGCGCCUGAAGAGGAGCCUGCGGCAGAUUAGCAGUUGGUGAGGUAAUGGCUCACCAAGGCUUCGAUCUGUAGCUGGUCUGAGAGGACGGCCAGCCACACUGGCACUGACACACGGGCCAGACUCCUACGGGAGGCAGCAGUGGGGGAAUUUUGGGCAAUGGGCGAAAGCCUGACCCAGCAACGCCGCGUGAGGGAGGAAAUCCUUCGGGAUGUAAACCUCACAGCAAGGGAAGAGAGCUCAAGGCCGAAUAAGCUUUGAGUCCGACGGUACCUUGCGUAAGCCAC